rnacentral:sRNA from 1 species
UUCUCACUCAAGUCUUCCCUUUAGCCACUUACAAAACUACUUGUAGAACUAUGGCUAUGAAUGAUGACAUAACUCGCACCCAAAACCGCAUCGUAACAGUGUUGUAAUAGUAUCAAAAUCUUUACAUAUACAUAUAUAUCUAUGUAUUUUUGUUACUAUUUAAACCGCACCGCACUUCUCCCACACCACAAAACGCAGUCACUAUUCGGACAAUAUGUUUUAAAAACGCUAUUUUGCCAUUCCCCAUAGGCUCAUGGCUUUAAAU